rnacentral:lncRNA from 1 species
AUUCCUUGAAGCCCGUGAGACACGAACGCUUCCAUUGAGAAAAACCUUCCAUCAGAAGAAGACUUCUCGUCUCAGUGGGACUGCUGAGUUGAAUGGUGCUUUUUUUUCUGAAGCUUUGGUAGUGUAACUGUAAGAGUCCUGGAAUUGGAAAAGCAAAUCCAGAAGUUGAGUUCCAUGACUUUUUUGCUGUUUGCCUUUGGACUUGCAUCAUUUAUAUUUUUAAUUCAUCGAGGAUGAGAAAAUUGAUUAACACAAAAUCUUUUCAUGUCUUUUCUGAUGAGAGACUAGCUGAAUCCAAGAAGAGAAGCCCUUGAAGAGUGUAUUCUAUUCUAGACAAGCAUUCACACAUUGGCUUCUUUGGUGCCAGAUCCUGGUCACAGAUUUUGGUGUGGAUGUGGUAAAAAGGGAGCACUUUUACACUGCUGGUGGGAAGGUAAAUUAGUACAACCACAAUGGAAAACUGUAUAGAGAUUCUUUAAAGAACUAGAAGUAGAACCACCAUUUGACCCAGCAAUCCCACUACUGAGUAUAUACCCAGAGGAAAACAAGUUAUUAUAUGAGAAAGAUAAGCACAUGCAUGUUUAUAACAGCACAAGUUGCAAUUGCAAAAAUAUGGAACCAGCCUAAUUGCCCCUCGGUGAACAAGUGGAUAAAGAAAAUGUGGUAUAUCUGCACAAUGGAAUACUACUCAACCAAAAAAGAAAAAAAAAA